rnacentral:rRNA from 1 species
UACGAAGGGGGCUAGCGUUGCUCGGAAUGACUGGGCGUAAAGGGCGCGUAGGCGGCCCGGCAAGUCAGGCGUGAAAUUCCUGGGCUCAACCUGGGGGCUGCGCUUGAGACUGUGGGGCUGGAGGCCGAGAGAGGGUGGUGGAAUUCCCAGUGUAGAGGUGAAAUUCGUAGAUAUUGGGAAGAACACCGGUGGCGAAGGCGGCCACCUGGCUCGGUACUGACGCUGAGGCGCGACAGCGUGGGGAGCAAACAGG